GCCUUUGUGGUAUAGUGGUCAACACACUCGGAGCGUAAUAGAGAGGUCCGAGGUUCGAAUCCUGGCGAGGGCA
rnacentral:tRNA from 1 species